rnacentral:rRNA from 1 species
AAUCUUGCGCAAUGGAGGGAACUCUGACGCAGCGACGUCGCGUGAGCGAAGAAGGUCUUCGGAUCGUAAAGCUCUGUCUUUGGGGACGAAGGAAGUGACGGUACCCAAGGAGGAAGCCCCGGCUAACUACGUGCCAGCAGCCGCGGUAACACGUAGGGGGCAAGCGUUGUCCGGAAUUACUGGGCGUAAAGGGUGCGUAGGCGGUAUAUUAAGUCAGGUGUGAAAGACCGCAGCUUAACUGCGGGGUUGCACUUGAAACUGAAUUUCUUGAGGGCAGGAGAGGAAAGCAGAAUUCCUGGUGUAGCGGUGAAAUGCGUAGAAAUCAGGAGGAAUACCGGUGGCGAAGGCGGCUUUCUGGACUGACCCUGACGCUGAGGUGCGAAAGCGUGGGUAGCAAACA